UACCUGCAGUUGUGCCUGGAGGAUUUGAUGCUCUCGUUUCCUGUCUGAAAUAAGCUCAGGUCAGCUCCUUGUGCUGGUGUAGGCACAACCUGCAGCUGUCCUUGACCAUGCCAUGAACUAAAACUUGCCCCAGAGCUGGAUAAGAGAGUGUUUGGGCACUGCUGUGUGUUGGGAACUGCCCAAACGUUCCGACUCCAAGAAACUUCAAAAAGACUUUUUAUGGUGAGAGGACAGUGUGAAAGGAGAGAGGAAUUUAUCAAUUUGAGUAAUAUACCCUCAGCUGGAAGGUUUCAUAGACAUGAGAUUGAGUUGAACUUGGCUUCUGCUUUAACCCAGAGGAGCCUUCCUGGGGCAGGAGCUCUGAGAGGUGCAGGUGCUCAGAGUCCUGCUGUUGGAGGCUAUUGACCAUUUUGGGGCAAAACCACCACUUUCUACUUCUCUCUGCAUUUUGCAUGAGGAGCAGCUGUGGGGUGUUUCACUGCCUGUCCAGUUAAACCACGACACAUGGUGGGUUGAAACAGACCUUACAGGAUAAAGAAAAGAAAUCUUAAAGGAGGUGAAGAUGGGGAAGGAAAGGUGGAGAAAUGAAGAUCUCUUUGCCCAUGGGAGGUAGCUGGGUCUCAGCUCUGGAGAGAGAAGUUUGGCGUGGGCUCUGGAAGCAGGACCGGACUCAGAAGGGGUGGUCCUUGAUUGGGCUGAACAGAGUGGAGAUGUGAAUUUUGAGCGGUUUCCUGUGGGAAAGAGAUCAAUAACCUCCUAAGGAAGAUCCUACUUGAGAGUGGGGGAAAAGCAAUUAAGUUGGGAUUUACCUGUUGCCACUUCAGGAUUAAGAAACCCAGAAACAUAUUACAGAAAUCCACAGGAGCAGACUUUAUCUGUGACCUCUCCAAUGCAGCAAAACUCAAUGCUGUGGUAUGGAAACAGCCCCAUUCCAUGACAGGCCUGGAAGUUUUUACUCCAUCAGAUGGACAAGGAGUGAACAUUUUUAUUAGAAAUUUGAACCACUUGACAGAGGCUGACAGAGAAAUGAGUCUCUGGUGUAACUCGGAGCACGGCCGUGGCGAAGCUCCUGCUGCAGAGCGCCGGGAACUUCUCGAGGAGCCAGGAGAAAUUCGGCCCAAGGUUACAAACUCAGAAUUAGUAGUGAAAAUCACAGUGAUUUCCAACAUAGGAAAUGGGGGUUUGACCACUGGAAUACUUGGAGUGACUCUUGGAGAAGAGAGCCAAAUCCCUGCCCUAAACACCGUGAUGGCAUUUGGGAUGCCUUGUCCAUCAAUCCUCUUGCCUCCAUGAACCCGUGUUUGCCAAUCUCAGGAGCUGCUGCAGCUCCUAAAGCAUCACCCAAGAUUCCAGGCAAUGGGAAAGGUGGGAACUGUUGCUCUGAAUUGUAAAAUCUCUGUAUCCAUGAUGCAGGAAAGGGCCUGUGACACAGCACAGGGUUUUAGUCCUCCUGCAGCUCUGAAAUUUGGACAGCUUCAUAGUCUUUUAUGAAAAUAUAACGUACCUUUGCUGCCUUUUGAGUAGUAAACUAUGAAUUUGAAAGUGACAAAUAUUAGCAAGCUGUCUUUAUUGCCAACAAAACUGGGCAAGAAAGAAAAAGACUCUGCAGAGCCUUUGACAGAAUGUUUAAUAACUUGUGAUUACUGUUUCCCAGAGGUGAUGUGUGUAAUAUGUAUUUUCCCCCUUUCAUUUUAUCCCAACACUUUUGCUGGAGACUGCUGUGGCUCUGCAUUCCUGAACUUCUUCCCCAGUCAAAGCUAGAGCACACUCCCUGUGGACGUGAAGGAGGAACAGAGGAUGGGGAAGGCGGGUGUGCCCCUCCGGAGAGGUGGAGCCUGGGAGGAGUCAAGGAUGCAGUUCAAGAACUGGGUGCUAAGUCGCAAGAUUUGUUCAGGAAGAUUUUAUGAGUAAUCAGGAGCACUUAUCAUUGAAAUCACCGGGGUGAAGGCUGGGUCCACAUCAAAGUAUGAGAAAUGAUCCCACAGCUUCCAGCCUGGGAGGGAGGAUCACAUCUGCUCCUUUGCAGUUGUUUCUGUAAAACGAUGUGCAGAAAGGCUCAGACUGGUUUCAUUUCAGUAGAGCAAUGCUGGGGUGGAAGCUGGAGCAGCAGCAGGGCAAGGGAGUGGAUCAAACCCUCAGGAACCACCUCUUGUGUCAGGCCAAAGCACUGAGACCCAGCCAUGUUACGGAGAAGUUUUCCUCCUUUCAUCUAUCUAUCAGAAUAGAAUACAAAGACAAUUUAACCAGGUGUUAAAAGAGACUGCUUGUUAAUACUUUCGUUAAAGUCAAAGUGCCAAGGCUCUUCUCAAAAACUGACUCAGAUGGAACUUCUUGGGAUGCCCUGUCCCUGGAAGUGUUCAAGGCAGGUUGGACAGGGCUUUGAGCCCCUUGGUCUAGUGGAGGAUGUCCCUGUCCCUGCCAGGGGCAUUGGAACCAGGUGAUCUUUAAGGUUUUUCUGAUCCAAACUAUUCUGUGAUUUCACUGUAUGACCUUUUUUUUCCUCAGGGAGCAGCCCCCAAAACUUCUCUUAAGUUAAGGGUGAUGAAUCUCCAAUCAUCACAGGAGUUCACUGUUGGAGCACAGUUUGGAGCUAGUUAUAAAAUGUAAACAGCUUUUUCACCAUG